rnacentral:rRNA from 1 species
GUGUCAGCCGCCGCGGUAAUACGUAGGUGGCGAGCGUUGUCCGGAAUUACUGGGUGUAAAGGGCGUGUAGGCGGGGAUAUAAGUCAGAUGUGAAAUACCGUAGCUUAACUACGGGGCUGCAUCUGAAACUAUGUUUCUUGAGUGUCGGAGAGGAAAGCGGAAUUCCCAGUGUAGCGGUGAAAUGCGUAGAUAUUGGGAGGAACACCAGUGGCGAAGGCGGCUUUCUGGACGAUAACUGACGCUGAGGCGCGAAAGCGUGGGGAGCAAACAGGAUUAGAUACCCUGGUAGUCCACGCUGUAAACGAUGGAUACUAGGUGUAGGAGGUAUCGACCCCUUCUGUGCCGGAGUUAACACAAUAAGUAUCCCACCUGGGGAGUACGGCCGCAAGGUUGAA